AGCUGAAAGUAUUUCACUCUAAUUGUUAUAGAAGGAUGCUUAUUAAUUAAUUGGAUUUGAAGAAUAUAGGCUUUGAUUUUGUAUUUUAGGGAAGUGGAGUUUCUGUUCCAAAGAAACAAACUCCACUAUUUGGCCAGGCAAUAUGCAGAUUCACAUUAAUUAUUCAGAAACCAAAAUGCAGAUCAUAUCAUAGAGAAAACAAGAAGGCAUAUAUAUUAUAUAUGUGUGUGUGCAUGUGUCUAAUGGCCAGCUCCAGGACUGGGGACAGAAUUUAUUAAGAUGCGAUCAAUCUUGGGAAGAUGGGAAGCCAUUAGCCUUUCGUCGACAGCCAUUGCAUGCCCUUUAGAAGAAGGAGGCAGAAGCACAGUGCCCUUGAGAAUGGUACUCAAAGCAGCAGAAUUGUCCUUCAAAGAAACUAACAUCCUCCUUCCUUCAAAACAUGGCACGAUUUGGCAGAUCACCACGAGAACGAAGAUGAAUAUGACUGCACUUGGACGAGCCAUGCAUGCAAAAUUUACUAGCUAGAAGCUUUGUUAUCGGUUAUGGAGGAGGUAAGAUAAUUGGGGUGUGG
rnacentral:lncRNA from 1 species